UGGGGAAUAUUGCACAAUGGGCGCAAGCCUGAUGCAGCCAUGCCGCGUGUAUGAAGAAGGCCUUCGGGUUGUAAAGUACUUUCAGCGGGGAGGAAGGGAGUAAAGUUAAUACCUUUGCUCAUUGACGUUACCGACAGAAGAAGCACCGGCUAACUCCGUGCCAGCAGCCGCGGUAAUACGGAGGGUGCAAGCGUUAAUCGGAAUUACUGGGCGUAAAGCGCACGCAGGCGGUUGAUUGAGUCAGAUGUGAAAUCCCCGGGCUUAACCCGGGAAUUGCAUCUGAUACUGGUCAGCUAGAGUCUUGUAGAGGGGGGUAGAAUUCCAGGUGUAGCGGUGAAAUGCGUAGAGAUCUGGAGGAAUACCGGUGGCGAAGGCGGCCCCCUGGACGAAGACUGACGCUCAGGUGCGAAAGCGUGGGGAGCAAACAGG
rnacentral:rRNA from 1 species